rnacentral:misc_RNA from 1 species
AAUGACUGAUCUGCAUAUUGCCCUGUACAGGCCACUGUGAGGUUGUGAUCUGAUAGCGUAGGAAUGAGCUCAAAACUCUAGUUUCUUCACCCGCUGCUCGAUUCCUCACCCAGUCUCUGCCUUGGUGUUUCUUCACUUGUGUCUACCCUUCUCUUUCCCCCUCAUGGUUUUGAAUAUUUGAAUACUGAAAGUGGAGUUGUAUGUCUGGCUCUG